rnacentral:rRNA from 1 species
UGGGGGAUAUUGCGCAAUGGGGGGAACCCUGACGCAGCGACGCCGCGUGAGCGAAGAAGGCCUUAGGGUUGUAAAGCUCUGUUUUCGGGGACGAAGAGGCGGGGAGUUAAGAGCUUUUCGUCAUGACGGUACCCGAAGAGGAAGCCCCGGCUAACUACGUGCCAGCAGCCGCGGUAAGACGUAGGGGGCGAGCGUUGUCCGGAAUCACUGGGCGUAAAGAGCACGUAGGCGGAUAUACAAGUCAGGUGUGAAAGACCGGGGCUCAACCGCGGGGUUGCACUUGAGACUGUAUAUCUUGAGGACAGGAGAGGGCAGUAGAAUUCCUGGUGUAGCGGUGAAAUGCGUAGAAAUCAGGAGGAAUACCGGUGGCGAAGGCGGCUGUCUGGACUGGACCUGACGCUGAGGUGCGAAAGCGUGGGGAGCAAACA